rnacentral:misc_RNA from 1 species
GAUGAAGAACGCAGCGAAAUGCGAUAAGUAAUGUGAAUUGCAGAAUUCAGUGAAUCAUCGAAUCUUUGAACGCACAUUGCGCCCCUUGGUAUUCCGAGGGGCAUGCCUGUUCGAGCGUCAUUUAAACCAUCAAGCCCCGGGCUUGUGUUGGGGACCUGCGGCUGCCGCAGGCCCUGAAAUGCAGUGGCGGGCUCGCUGUCACUCCGAGCGUAGUAGUUACAUCUCGCUCUGGGCGUGCUGCGGGUUCCGGCCGUUAAAAGCCUUAUUUACCCAAGGUUGACCUCGGAUCAGGUAGGAAGACCCGCUGAACUUAAGCAUAUCAAUAAGCGGAGGA